GGGCGUGUGGUUUAGGGGUAUAAUGUUCGCUUUGCAACUUCAGCGUUCGCAUUUGUGAAAGGUCCUGGGUUCAAUUCCCAGCUCGUCCA